rnacentral:pre_miRNA from 1 species
CUAGACAGACUGUCCACAGUGUGUUUGAUAAGCUGACAUGGGACAGGAUUUCUUUUCACUGUUGUGUCAGCAUAUCAAACUCAUACCUGGUCAUC